rnacentral:rRNA from 1 species
AGUGAACGCUGGCGGUAGGCCUAACACAUGCAAGUCGAACGGCAGCACAGUAAGAGCUUGCUCUUACGGGUGGCGAGUGGCGGACGGGUGAGGAAUACAUCGGAAUCUACUUUUUCGUGGGGGAUAACGUAGGGAAACUUACGCUAAUACCGCAUACGACCUACGGGUGAAAGCAGGGGAUCUUCGGACCUUGCGCGAUUGAAUGAGCCGAUGUCGGAUUAGCUAGUUGGCGGGGUAAAGGCCCACCAAGGCGACGAUCCGUAGCUGGUCUGAGAGGAUGAUCGGCCGCACUGGAACUGAGACACGGUCCAGACUCCUACGGGAGGCAGCAGUGGGGAAUAUUGGACAAUGGGCGCAAGCCUGAUCCAGCCAUACCGCGUGGGUGAAGAAGGCCUUCGGGUUGUAAAGCCCUUUUGUUGGGAAAGAAAAGCAGCAGGUUAAUACCCCGCUGUUCUGACGGUACCCAAAGAAUAAGCACCGGCUAACUUCGUG